rnacentral:lncRNA from 1 species
UUGUGUGUGUGUGUGUGUGUGUGUGUGUGUGUGUGUGUUUGCUGUUACAUCACUGCUGUAUCUGCCUGCUGUUUCUGUACACCUGCAUGUUGCUGCUUUCUUAACACUGGCCUGACACACACACACACACACACAUACACACACACAUACAAAAGAAGCUCUCUCUCCGUCGGCUGUUUGUCUCUUUGUAAUGACAAUAAUCUCAACCAAAAAAUGGAGCACACACACACACACACACACACACACACACCUGAACACCUGAUUCUACGAGACCUUCCUGCCUCGCCUUUUUUUUUUCAUGCUGAGUAAACAUCGACGUCCAAAAGCUUCAAAGGUGUUUGCUGCAUUUCGGUUUCAUCUUUUGUGAUUUUUGAAGAGACAGGUUUCACUCUCAUGGCUAGUUCUUUUCGGGGGGCACAAAGAGAGAGAAAAAGGAGAACAGGACUUUCUCUCACUGCCAUCAGAUCCCGCCCGCAUGAGUCACCGUUCGUGUUCGCCUCUUCUUGUUGACUCCCUCAGAUCAAAGGUUGCUCUGGCUGUCAUCCCCUCACCCCCUUCAAUUCCGCAUGCCAGCUCCUCUCCCAGGAAACCGUCCAACCAAAAGUCCUUCAUGAGACGUCCGUGCUCCGUGCUCCAGUCCUCCUCUCGGGCCAGUGUCUUGGCUCCGGGGGGGGGCGGAGUCUCCCUCGCGAUCUGAAGCACCUAGUUCAGAGGACCGCUCUCUCAAAGUUUGACUUCUGAAUUAGUUCCCAAUCCGUCAAACCCCUUCCUGUCUUCACGUCUCCUGAAGCCCUCAUAAGCUUCUUUUCAGCCUGGAACUCUUUUCCCGAGUUUGACGACCGCAGCCGGAGAUUGACUCGUUCACACCAAACGGGAGGAUUUUUCCGGAGCCGUGUCCGUGGCGGGGCAGGCCGGAGGCGGGGCCUGACGACACGGCGCUCGCUGUGCGCUCUUCAGAGAUUUUUCCUGGACAUUCCCCUGGACAUUGUUACCGGCAGGAAACGUUUUCGGACCGUCCACGGAGCGAAACGAUUGCCUCCUCACGAGUCUCCGAGAGGUUCAGGAGAAUGUCGGAACUUCGGCGUGCUGUGUGAAAGCAACUUCAUACGUUUCCAAUCCAUCACACCCUCAGUCACCCUCAUUUAAAAUCGUCCUGGUCUUUACAUUUCGUCGUUCUUUUAUCAGCGUUCACGGUUGUCCUGCAUCAGGCUUUUUGUUUGGUUUUUUACAUUUACUUUCAACGUGGACCUGGGUCUGGAACAACCUGCC